UGCGAUUCUUUCCAGGCAACCGCGUGUCAGAGAAGCAUCUGCUCAUUUUCGGUUUUCCUUUUGCAAGAGCUGGUCCCUCCAGGGGCAGCCGACCGACCCCGCGGAGCCGGCGCCGCGGGGACCCUGCAGCCGGGAGGGCGCGGGGCUGCGCGGGCCCCGGCACCGCGGCGCGGAGGGGUUUCAUCUAAUAUUAAUUGUUUCAACCUCUGGUGGUUGAAGCGGUUUUAUUGGCAGGAAGAUGCAGGCGGUGGCGCACUGGGGGCGAAGGCUUCGGGUUGCGCUCACAGGGGAAACAAUGGGCUGGAUGGAAUUUGAGAAAACAAGCCCAAGAUGUUAAUUAGCCGCUAAGGCACUCGGGGCACUUUGCAAAUAUUAACAUAGCCUACUUGUGAACUCCCGAGGGCCGGGGCUCCGCGGUCGGUUUGGCUUCCACGGAUCUCCGAGAAAACCGUCUAUUUUAAAGAGGAGCGAGGCUGGGGCGCCGUGAAGAGAGACGAGAAAUGGCACAGACUUGCGGAGGGAAAGGCCGACGGCUCUCCCGGACGGUUCACUGUGCUCGAGCCUCUGCACCCUUCGUUCUGCUUCAUCCUUUCCACCGCCUGGGGAGCUGGGCGGAGUGUCCCCGCGCUGCAGACGCGGAGGUGUCCCCCCACCCCCACCCCCUCGGGCUGACUGCGGAGGGGGCCUUCAGACUGCGUCCCUCUGGCGGGGACCUCCCUCGGGGGUGGGCUGGGGCAGGGGGAGUCUGUGGCCGUGGGUGCCCUGAAGCACGGAUUCGGAGCACCAGCAGCCUUUGAAACCUUGGGCCGUGUGACUUUGAGCGGGUUAUUUGCCCCUGCUCGGUUUCCGUUUAUCCCGAGCUCCUGGGUUUGCUGGAAGACUUAAGGCCGCCCCCUCAAGAGCCAGGCAGAAGGAAGGCACUUUCGCAGGAGCCUGAUUUCUUCAUCUCUCGGAGGGCGGGGACCUCUGCCCCCCCAGCCUGCAAACACGGCUGUAAAACUCCGCGGUAAACAGAACGUUGAAUUAGUGGCUGAGUUUGGAUGGGGGAUGGGGUGGGGGUUCAAAUGCUAGCUCUGCCCCGCUGAUGGUGUGAGCCCAGGCCGGUUAAUGAACCUCGGAUGCCUCAGUUUCCUCCCUUGUAGAAUGAAGAUGAAGGUGGCGAUGCUUGGGAAGCGCUUUACACGGAGGGAUGGCACCUCCUGAGGGCGAAAAUCAUUGUCUGUUACUGUUACUUCCUUCAGAAACCAAAGCGGAGCAUUCUCGCCUCCGAACUCGGAGGCUAAUGGAUCCAGCAGAGAACUGUUGAAUUUCUGUCUUACUAUUGUGCUGUUCACACCUCCAUUUCUUCCCCCAUAGUAUUUACCUUUGUAUAAGCGUUGACACUAUUUCACAUUUUUUCUUCCUGGGUCCCAGAUAUUGCUCUAUAAUGUC